rnacentral:rRNA from 1 species
AACGUAGGAGACGAGCGUUAUCCGGAUUUACUGGGCGUAAAGGGCAAGUAGGCGGUAAGCAAAGUUGGGCGUGACAUCUCUCGGCUUAACUGGGAGGGGUCGUCCAAAACUAGCUAACUAGAGGGCAGGAGAGGGGAGUGGAAUUCCUAGUGUAGCGGUGGAAUGCUUAGAUAUUAGGAAGAACACCAGUGGCGAAGGCGACUCUCUGGCCUGACCCUGACGCUGAGAGGCGAAAGCUAGGGGAGCGAACGGGCUUAGAAACCCCCGUAGUCC